rnacentral:rRNA from 1 species
UGGGGAAUAUUGGACAAUGGGGGGAACCCUGAUCCAGCCAUGCCGCGUGUGUGAAGAAGGCCUUAUGGUUGUAAAGCACUUUAAGCGAGGAGGAGGGUACUGGUAUUAAUACUACCAGGUACUGGACGUUACUCGCAGAAUAAGCACCGGCUAACUCUGUGCCAGCAGCCGCGGUAAUACAGAGGGUGCGAGCGUUAAUCGGAUUUACUGGGCGUAAAGCGUGCGUAGGCGGCUAAUUGAGUCGGAUGUGAAAUCCCCGAGCUUAACUUGGGAAUUGCAUUCGAUACUGGUUAGCUAGAGUGUGGGAGAGGAUGGUAGAAUUACAGGUGUAGCGGUGAAAUGCGUAGAGAUCGGGAUGAAUACCGAUGGCGAAGGCAGCCAUCUGGCCUAACUCAGACGCUGAGGUACGAAAGCAUGGGGAGCAAACAGG